UACAGAGGGGGCAAGCGUUGUUCGGAUUCACUGGGCGUAAAGGGUGCGUAGGUGGUUGGGUAAGUUUGAUGUGAAAUCUCUGAGCUCAACUCAGAAACUGCAUUGAAUACUAUCCGGCUAGAGAAUCGGAGGGGGGACUGGAAUACUUGGUGUAGCAGUGAAAUGCGUAGAUAUCAAGUGGAACACCAGUGGCGAAGGCGAGUCCCUGGACGAUUUCUGACACUGAGGCACGAAAGCUAGGGGAGCAAACAGG
rnacentral:rRNA from 1 species